rnacentral:rRNA from 1 species
GAUGAACGCUAGCGACAGGCCUAACACAUGCAAGUCGAGGGGCAGCACAUGCGUAGCAAUACAAUGGUGGCGACCGGCGCACGGGUGAGUAACACGUAUGCAACCUACCUGUAAGAGGGGAAUAACCCGGAGAAAUUUGGAUUAAUACCCCGUAACAUAAUGAUGUGGCAUCACAUUAUUAUUAUAGCUACGGCGCUUGUUGAUGGGUGUGCGGCUGAUUAGAUAGUUGGCGGGGUAACGGCCCACCAAGUCUACGAUCAGUAGCUGAUGUGAGAGCAUGAUCAGCCACACGGGCACUGAGACACGGGCCCGACUCCUACUGGAGGCAGCAGUAAGGAAUAUUGGUCAAUGGACGCAAGUCUGAACCAGCCAUGCCGCGUGAAGGAUUAAGGUCCUCUGGAUUGUAAACUUCUUUUAUCUGGGACGAAAAAAGGCUAUUCUUAGUCACUUGACGGUACCAGAUGAAUAAGCACCGGCUAACUCCGUGCCAGCCGCCGCCGUAACAC